UCUGUUUUACAAAUGCACGAUUUCACAUAUUUGGAGGAAAAAUGAAAAAAAAAAAAAAAAAGAGGCUGUUUUUCCAACAACAUUGUGCUUUUUUCAUAAAACAAAAAAACAACAAAUGCCUUUCUAGCAUAGAUUUCUUAGGCAUAUUUUUGUUUAAGCUGUGGAAAAAUGGGACUUACCCUAGUGCUGCAAAGCAGGCAGUCAUGGAGAGCAUUUUGAUUUAAAAUGCAAUCUGAAGAGAAGAAAAGAAAAAAAAAUAAGGAAUGAUAUAAACAAACAGUACACCGCUUUCAAGUUACUCCUAAAAUGUUCCUAGAUUAACUAAUACAUUGAAAGUUUAAAUCUUUACACAUUGUUCUUGAGGGGCUAUGUCUCUUGACUCUUUAUUUAUAUCACUUAUUCUUGUCUGGCAACAUAUGUUCCCGAUUUAUUAUAGUAUUUUUACUGUUAGCCAGACAAAUGUAAGGGCUAGCUGAGAAGGGUAGUUUCAUCUGAUGAGUUUAACAAUUGCAGGGCAUCCUUUAGGGUUAGCCAAUGGGCUCUUUUGAAGCUGUAAUACUCACCAUUAACCGUUUGGAUGCUGAAAUAUUUGUAUUGUCCAGGUUGGGGCUUCCCUGGUGUGAGCCUCUUUGUUUCAGAUGGGUUCACAGGCAAACGCACCGCAGUGGGCGAGAGCUGCUCAUCCAGCAAAUGCUCCCGUGUGCAUCCCAGACCACGCUGUUAGAGCUUGCGGGUAACAAGUCUGUACCGUGCGUACCCCCCUCCGGUCGGAUAGAGAGAAAGGCAUGCAGAAAAUAACGCUUAAAAAGUCUAAUUCUGUGAUGUAUGGCAAAUAUUAACCGUAAGCGUUUGGAACUCCGUGUGUGCUUUCUGACCACCGGAAGGUAAUGGGGAGGAAGGCUUCCUCUGUCAAAGCACAACCCCAAAAACGUGUAUUUUAAAUAGAUGCCCUGACACCUGGGGAAAAGGUGGGAGGAGAGGUGGUGAGCUGGGUGCCGCGUUUUACACGUCUCACAUUCAGGCUACUUGUUCUGGGGUAAGAACCUGCACUUUUUCCACCUCCUGUUUCCUCCCCUUGUCUCUCUUUGUUCGAUGCCAAGAGGUUCCUGCACAUCCACCAGAAGCUGCUGGUGGAAACAGGUACAUUUGCAUUUGCACCCCCACCCAGCUGUGCUUGAGCUUUGGGGCACCAACAGGUUCGCAGCUCCAAGGAGAUGUAGGGAUAUAAUUCCGAGCAUAACGCCACGUUCACAAUCUGCAGCCUUUUGGCACUCGAUCAGAUCACGACACCCAUCAGCGUAUCCUACUACGGGUGGGAUGCCCAUCAUGGGAUGCUCGGGACCCCUGCGCACCAAAGAGCACAGGGUGAAUCCAGAGCAGGCUGUAGGGCACAAGUGACAUUUUUUUUGCCUUUGGGAAUCAAGUCAGGCCUUGGGGAUAGGAGACAGCUCUGAAAAGUUUUAGUUUCCCUUGCAUCUUCAGGGAAUGAGGGAAGGGUCAGUGUAAAGCUUGCACAAGACCACAUGUUCAGAGCAGUAAUCUGCUGGGGAACAAAAUACAGAGGGCAAGAUGCUGUGUUUCAGGUAGAAUAAAUACAGCAGGUUAUAAAUAAGCAGUAAAUACAGCAGUUAGACUCCUCGUGGGAUCCCUUGAAAGGGGAUUUUGACUCGGUGGGUCAGGGCACAUUUCCUGGUGUCACCAGUGAGCCAGUGGCAAACAGCGUGGUAUGGUUGUCACUGGGAGAAGAGCAAGGGGAGAAGCACUCCUGGGAUUUUUUGCUUUGACUUAAUAGCAGUUCAGUUGUCCUGGGCUCACUUGUUUGUGGCUUUUCUUUUUUUUUUUUUUUUUAAUUAGAAAAAUGGCCAAACAUUCCCUCUGCUUAUUGCAGGGGAGUUGAUAAGCAGCUGGACUUCCUAAAGAUGACUUGGAUUCAGCUGUGUGCAAAAACAUCAUAAAGAUGGAGAUCUUUCUUUCUGAUCGAUUUUCUAUAGCAUGAAGAUAGCCCCAAUAAUUCCUUACCCCAGAUUAAAUUUUAAUUGCACUUUGGCUGACCAAAAACAGUGGCAAUGAAUGCAGGUGGAGCACAGGGUGGCUGUGGUCAGGGGCUGGCUCUCUCCAAAGGUUUUCUGGAGGCAGGUGCCACCGGUACCCUGAGCAAGCAUCAAAAGUGGCAGUACUGGGGCUCAGAGCACGGGGCUUAACACCUAUUUAAUUUUCUAUUUUAAGGAGGUUUCUGGCAACUUCAUAAUUAAGUUAAUAACCGCUCCUGAUUUUGUUUCACCCCCCCACAACACUUUUUGGUUUUAGUGUGGGGAGGGAGGAACAAGGAGCAGCUCGGUCCCUCAAUCACUCCCUCUGUUUUGUCCAUCACCUUGGUUUCUUUCCCCUGUUUUUGACCUGCACUUUUUCUGGAUCAGACACUGGCAGGUUGAGAGGUAAUAAGAACCAGAUGGACAGAGUGCAGAAAUUGCCCAAAUGGGUACGAGAAUGUGGGGAGCUGUCAGGCAUGGAGAGAAGCUGGAAUUUUUCAGCAAUAAAAUGGGAUUUAUCGCCACUCUACCACAGUCAUUGCCGACAACCGUUUACCUUGACAGAAACCCCAUUCCAAUAGGCCAUGCCGAUGCAGAUUUUUUUUUUUUUUCCCAAAGAGUGAUGAUUGGUAUUUGUUCUAAGGCUCAAAUGGCCUGCACUAAAGGUGAAGCAUUAGGCCAAAGUCCUGUAUUCCCUACUGAGGCAAAUGAACCUGCUAAAAUAAGUUCCUUCCACAAUAGCUGUGUAAUUGAAACCAGAAAGUGAGAGAAUUUGAUAAAUUGCUUGACCCUGAAGGAAUGUUAAGGUCAUAAAUUUUCAUUGCAUUUUUUGCCUCUUUUUCAGGAAAAAAAAAAAUUCUCUUUUUAUAUAUAUUGAUUAUGUUUAGCAUUUGUCUCCAAAUUCCAGCUAGCCUCCAGAUCAUUAGCCAUCGCUCUGCCAUCCUCUCCCAACAGGCAACAAUUACAAGGUUUCCAGCAUCCCCACCUACACCAUCCUGGAACGGCUGAAGGACACAAAACAUUCACAAACGGCAGCUCUUACAUCCGACGGCGAAGGAAUCUGCCGCACACAGCACUAACAACCCGAAAUGGAGAGUUUAGCAAGUGCAAUCCGUUUAGGAGGACGGAGUAAAAAACGGUGCUGUGCUUGGAGAAUGAUGGAGUAAAAAAAUGUCUGCAAAUCAUUUACGGGGAAUCAAACAUUUAUUGCCGUUCUUACCUUUUUUUUUUUUUUUCUUCCUGUCUUCUAGUUGAAAAAGGAUGUUUGGUGUGUUAUUGAAUAAUAUGUGCAGAUGUCCCUUAAAGCUCAAAAGACCCAAACAAACCCCAAACCCCAGAGUAUUUUAUGAUGGAAAACCACGUUUCAAUAAGAAGUAAAUAAAUUGAAUAAAACCAAGAAAAAUGUUAAGAAGAAUUAGGAGAAUAACCAGCAAGUAACAAAAUUCAUCUCCUCAACUGGACCAGCUUCUGCUUCACCACUGACUGAAAUCUGCUAUCAUACAGCAACUGCUUUUUAUAACCAAGCUGCUUUUCCCCCCUGCCUGGAAUAUAACAUUUCAGAGGCAAAACUCUCCUUGUAGCACUUCAGCAAGGCGUUACACUUUCCGUAGCCAUACACACUUAACCCAACAUGAAGCGAGUUAAAUAAUCAUUAGCACAGUAACCCAUUGCUAUCAAAAACUUAUUGGUCCUCUAAAUUUUAAAUUAAUGGCCUGUCUUCCUGUUCUCUGUGUGUGUCUGUCUGCUUUUCAGCCACCUCAGUGCAUAGUCAUAGAUGUUUUAUCAGCACAUAUUAGACUAUUUGCAUUAUUGACAUUUCAAUUUUUAAAAUUAAAAAGAAAAAAAAAAAAAAAAGCAAAAAGAAGAAUAGUUCCUGCUGAGUUGUUUUAUCUGUAGACUUCUGGUUCUUAAGUAACUCAUCCCAGCAUUAAUUAGCAGCCAAUAUUUGACAAACCAACUAAGAAAUACACUCUGUCCCUCUGCAGCCAAGUUGCUGUAGCUCAAAGAAGUUUCCUUAAGAAAGAACAAAAAAGAGGAGAUAAAGUAAAAAGAAUUGGAGCAAUGCCCUGAUAAAAACUCAAUAGUUUAUACUCACUUUUUCUUUUUUGAGAAGUUAAAUAAAACUGCUUUUUUUGUUGUUUGGUUUUAUUUUCUUUUGAAAAACUCCUUUUCUCCCCAUAAACUGUUCGAUUUCUGGCCCAAAUCCCUUUUUUUCCUUUUUUUUUUUUUUUUUUUUUUUUUUUUUAGUCCUGAAGUAAUUUCUAGUCAUUUUAAGGCAGUUACUUAUCCGGAGAAUGAAGGAGUAUCAGCUGUGUUUCAAUUAGAGAAGGAAAAAAGAUAAAGACUUGGAACUUAACCUAAAAACGCGAAGUGACAUAUUAGGAUGAGAAUUUUCAUAUGUUGCUGUAUAAAUAUUUUAAUAAAAGUCCUAAAAUAA